CACUCCUACGGGAGGCAGCAGUGGGGAAUUUUGGACAAUGGGCGAAAGCCUGAUCCAGCAAUGCCGCGUGAGUGAAGAAGGCCUUCGGGUUGUAAAGCUCUUUUGUCAGGGAAGAAACGGUGAAAGCUAAUAUCUUUUGCUAAUGACGGUACCUGAAGAAUAAGCACCGGCUAACUACGUGCCAGCAGCCGCGGUAAUACGUAGGGUGCAAGCGUUAAUCGGAAUUACUGGGCGUAAAGCGUGCGCAGGCGGUUUUGUAAGUCUGAUGUGAAAUCCCCGGGCUCAACCUGGGAAUUGCAUUGGAGACUGCAAGGCUAGAAUCUGGCAGAGGGGGGUAGAAUUCCACGUGUAGCAGUGAAAUGCGUAGAUAUGUGGAGGAACACCGAUGGCGAAGGCAGCCCCCUGGGUCAAGAUUGACGCUCAUGCACGAAAGCGUGGGGAGCAAACAGGAUUAGAUACCCCUGUAGUCCCAUG
rnacentral:rRNA from 1 species